UGUUACUCCAUUAUGCUGCAUAUUCGUAUUAUGACGCAGUUUCGUUUUAAAACACAGUUUUACUUUCUAUUGUAAGGUAAAAUCAUUGUGCUGGCAGUUUCACCAAUUGCUGCCAGCUUUGUUGGUGUAUCUUUGAUUUACCUUUACAGUAGUAUUGGAGAGUGAAGACCUUACUAAAGGAUGGGAAUCUGAAGGAUUGGAAUAAAGUUGGAGUUCCAGCAGUUUAAUGAAGAAUCGACUUAAUUGAGGAUUCAUUCAGAAUAUGGUGACCUGUAUCUGAGAUAACUCCUGCAAGAGCAGUUCCGCAGUGCAACCUUCAAUGGGACUCUGGAAUCAACAGCCACAGCAAAUGUUCCUGAAUGAUCUAAGAAAUGUACAGGAUGCUACAGGACCUCUGAAGGAUUAAAUCAUGCAGCUGAUCAGAAAUUUGGAGUCCUGGUAAAGGAAAAG